rnacentral:rRNA from 1 species
GACGAACGCUGGCGGCGUGCUUAACACAUGCAAGUCGAACGGUGACCCAGGGCUUGCCCUGGUGAUCAGUGGCGAACGGGUGAGUAACACGUGGGGCAACCUGCCCCUGACUUCGGGAUAACUCCUCGAAAGAGGAGCUAAUACCGGAUACGACCACUUCGGACAUCCGAUGGUGGUGGAAAGUUUUUCGGUCAGGGAUGGGCCCGCGGCCUAUCAGCUAGUUGGUGGGGUAAUGGCCUACCAAGGCGACGACGGGUAGCCGGCCUGAGAGGGCGACCGGCCACACUGGGACUGAGACACGGCCCAGACUCCUACGGGAGGCAGCAGUGGGGAAUAUUGCGCAAUGGGCGAAAGCCUGACGCAGCGACGCCGCGUGAGGGAUGAAGGCCUUCGAGUUGUAAACCUCUUUCAGCAGGGACGAAGCGAAAGUGACGGUACCUGCAGAAGAAGCACCGGCUAACUACGUAGCCAGCAGCCGCGGUAAU